rfam:Camelus ferus unplaced genomic scaffold scaffold1274, whole genome shotgun sequence.
GGGUAUAUAGCUCAAAUGGUAGAGUGCAUGCUUAGCAUGCAUGAGGUUCUGGGUUAAAUCCCCAGUACCUUCU